AGGAAACACAUCAGGAAAAUCACACACCACGGCUAGAUCGCAAUUCACCAGUUUAUCUUUAGCCUCCAAAGUCGCUAACAGCAUAAACAACUCUGCCCCAUCUGCUACUGCCUCAUUCACCUGCCUUGCUGAUAGAAACAAACUCUUUCCUUCCUCAAUCUCAGGAAAGAUCACAGUCUUAUCAAAACAAUUGAUAUAGACUCGGUUA
rnacentral:lncRNA from 1 species